rnacentral:snRNA from 1 species
GUGCUCGCUUCGGCAGCACACACAGUAAAAUCAGAACGAUACAGAGAAGAUUAGCAUGGCCCCUGCGCAA